AGGCCUGGAGCAUCACCUAUCACAGCUGGCUGACCUUCGUGCUGCUGAUCUGGUCGUGCACUCUUUGGAUGAUUCGCAACAGAAGAAAAUAUGCCAUGAUCAGCUCUCCCUUCAUGGUGGUUUAUGGAAACCUAUUGUUGAUAUUACAGUAUAUAUGGAGUUUUGAACUUCCUGAAAUUAAAAAAGUUCCAGGAUUUUUAGAAAAGAAAGAGCCAGGAGAACUUGCUUCCAAAGUAAGUGAAUAGAAUACAAUAAAACAAAACAAUGACACAAAACCACAAUCAUCAUCAUAAUCGUAUCCAAGAGAAACCUUAUAAAAACAGGUUCCAAAUAUUCACUGCUUUGUAAAAAUGAACAAACAUGAGACUGUAAGAAACAGUUUGCGGUGCUUAGAGGCCUCUAUAAUUUAAACAUGAACAUAUAUUACACCAUGAUUUAGCUUUUACUUAGGAAUGACAAUGUUUUCCACUCAAAGAAAACUUGUAUAAAUGUUUUUAAGUAUAAAUCCUACUAGAGUAAAAAUUAGGUGUGAAAAUAGGAAAAUACAGUGCAAAAUGUGUUAAGGGAUUAUAGGACUGUCUUUGAUUAUCAUUUUAUAAAACAUGCUUAGUGCAUUAGUGUCACAGAUAAGUAUUGAUUAUUCAUGACGUUUUUCUCCAAUUCUUUCCUAAAGAACAUUUUUAGCAGCAAAAAUGAAGUAUGACACUUGCUGUUUUUCUUCUACUGAUUAUAUGAUAUGUUCUUAUCUGAGUUAGAAUGUUCAUACUCUUCUCAUUACUUAUUUGCUUUCAUGGGCCAUUUUAACAGUUUUAUUUCAAAAGAUUAGGUUUCCCAACUUACUGUUUGUUUUGUUAACAGAAUGGCAGACUAAACACACAUUCCCUUUGUGUUAAUAAUUUAGUUUUAAGACAGUAAAAAUAAACGUGUUUAUAUUG
rnacentral:lncRNA from 10 species